CGCGUCACGGAGCGCGGGAAGGACGAAAAUGGCGGCGGCGGCAACCGGGGGAUGAGGAGGGGCCGCCGAGCUGUGAUUCCUGCAGAACUCCCCCUGGAGCUGUCCAGGACACUCAUUCCCUGAGGGAGCAGCUUCCAGCCACUUUUGGGCUCUCUGCAGUGGGGAUCCCACCAUGGAGGAGGUGGAUUCCCGUUUCCAGCACCUGCUGCAGCCCAUCCGUGACCUCACCAAGAACUGGGAGGUGGAUGUGGCUGCCCAGCUCGGGGAGUACCUGGAGGAGCUGGACCAGAUCUGCAUCUCCUUCGACAACGGCAAAACCACCAUGAACUUCAUGGAGGCAGCGCUGCUGAUCCAGGGCUCUGCCUGCAUCUACAGCAGGAAGGUGGAAUACCUGUACAUGCUGGUGUGCCAGACGCUGGACUGCAUCUCCAACAAACAGAGGGAGAAGCUCCCCACUUCCCUGGGCACCGACGGCCGCGAUGCCGACGCCACCUUCACGGACGAGCAGGAGGAGUUCCUGUCCCUGGAUGACAUCCCAGAAACCAGCCAGGCCAGCGUGGACAUCAGGAGGGGCCAGCAGCCUGCUGCUGUGAACAUCGUUCCCCUGACCCCCAUGGCCCUGGUGCCCCCGGAAGAAGGGGAGAAGAAGGACAACCCCCUCCUGAGGUGCCAUUCCUGGGAUUGUCCCCUGUCCCCUCCCCUGGGUGGCAUUGUACCAUGUCCCCUUCCCUGGUGGCAUUGUCCCCUGCCCCCUCCCCAGUGGGAUUGUCUCUUGUCCCCUCCUCUGCUCCAGGUCCUGUGUGGCAUUGUCUCAUGUCCCCUCCCCUGGUGGGAUUGUCCCAUGUCCUGUCCCCUGCUCCAGUCCCUGGGUGGCAUUAUCCCAUGUCCCCUUUCCCUGGUGGGAUUAUCCCGUGUCCCCUCCCCUGCUCCACUCCCUGGGUUGGCAUUGUCACCUUCCCUGGUGGCAUUGUCCCAUGUCCCUUCCCCUGGUGGGAUUGUCCUGUGUCCCCUCCCCUGCUCCAGUCCCUGGGUGGGAUUGUCCCGUGUCCCCUCCCCUGGUGGGAUUGUCCCAUGUCCCCUCCCCUGGUGGGACUGUCCCAUGUCCUGUCCCCUGCUCCAGUCCCUGUGUGGCACUGUCCCAUGUCCCCUCCCUGCUGGCAUUGUCCCAUGUCCACUCCCCUGGUGGGAUUAUCCCCUGUCCCCUCCCCUGGUGGCAUUGUCCUGUGUCCCCUCCCCUGCUGGAACUGUCCCAUGUCCCCUCCCCUGGUGGGAUUGUCCCAUGUCCUGUCCCCUGCUCCAGUCCCUGAGUGGCAUUGUCCCUUGUCCCCUCCCUGCUGGGAUUGUCCCUUGUCCCCUCCCCAUGGGAUUGUCCCGUGUCCCCUCCCUGCUGGGAUUGUCCCGUGUCCCCUUCCCUGGUGGGAUUGUCCCGUGUCCCCUCCCCAGUGGGAUUGUCCCCGUGUCCCCUCCCUGCUGGGAUUGUCCCGUGUCCCCUCCCCUGGUGGGAUUGUCCCAUGUCCUGUCCCCUGCUCCAGUCCCUGGGUGGCAUUAUCCCAUGUCCCCUUUCCCUGGUGGGAUUAUCCCGUGUUCCCUCCCCUGGUGGCAUUGUCCCAUGUCCUGUCCCCUGCUCCAGUCCCUGGGUGGCAUUAUCCCAUGUCCCCUUUCCCUGGUGGUAUUGUCCCUUGUCCCCUCCCUGCGGGGCCAUCCAGGCGGGCGCCGUGCUGUUGUGGGAGCCGGGGCUGGCACAGGGGCUGGCACGGGGGACACUGGGGACCCUGGGGACCCUGGGGACACUGGGGACCCUGGGGACCCUGGGGACAGCGCCCUGCCGGUGCUGCCGCAGCCGGCGGGGCGAGGUGCUGGCGAGCCGCCGGGAUUUCCGCAUGAACACCUCCACCCCGCACGCCUCCGGCGCCUUCCUGCUGGAGCUCUCCGGGCUCUCCCCCACCCACCCGCAGCAGGAGCAGCGCCUGGCCACGGCCACAGCGGCUCCGGGAUGCGGCCCCGCGGAGCGGCCGAGCGCUGGCACGGCGCUGGUGCGGGCACUGAGCUUCUGCGAGGAGGCAGGUGCUGCAGAACCUGACGAUGAUGACGUUCCCGGGACCCUGGGGAAUGACAUGGAGGUGACCCCGGCCCCUAACGAACACAUCGAGGCUCAGAGGAGCACGCCCCGGACCCGGGGGUACAUCCUUCGGGAGAGACCCCCGUGCCAGGAGCCCGGAUACCUCAGCAAG